rnacentral:RNase_P_RNA from 1 species
AAUCCUGGCGGUCGCGUGCUGGCUUUGACUGGCAUGAGGAAAGUCCGGGCUGCACAGGGCAAGGAUAGCAGAUAACGUCUGCCGGAGGCAACUCCAGGAAUAGUGCAACAGAAAGAUACCGCCGGGGAAUCCCCGGUAAGGGUGGAAAGGCGAGGUAAGAGCUCACCACGCCCCAUGGUAACAUGGGGGGUCUGUAAACUCUAUCCGCAGCAACAUCGACAGGGACUAUGGCCGGCCCGGCCCUCCCGACCGAUGGCUUGAGGCGCGCGGCGACGCGCGUCCCAGAUAGAUGACCGUCCACGACAGAACCCGGCUUACGGAUUG